AUUGAACGCUGGCGGAAUGCUUUACACAUGCAAGUCGAACGGUAGAGGGGGCAACCCCUCGAGAGUGGCGAACGGGUGAGUAAUAUAUCGGAACGUGCCCAGUCGUGGGGGAUAACGUAGCGAAAGUUACGCUAAUACCGCAUACGAUCUAAGGAUGAAAGCGGGGGAUCGCAAGACCUCGCGCGAUUGGAGCGGCCGAUAUCAGAUUAGGUAGUUGGUGGGGUAAAGGCACACCAAGCCAACGAUCUGUAGCGGGGCUGAGAGGACGACCAGCCACACUGGAACUGAGACACGGUCCAGACUCCGACGGGAGGCAGCAGUGGGGAAUUUUGGACAAUGGACGCAAGUCUGAUCCAGCCAUUCCGCGUGCAGGAUGAAGGCCCUCGGGUUGCAAACUGCUUUUGUACGGAACGAAAAGGUCUCUCUUAAUACGGGGGGCUCAUGACGGUACCGUAAGAAUAAGCACCGGCUAACUACGUGCCAGCAGCCGCCGUAA
rnacentral:rRNA from 1 species